UUAUUGGAGAGUUUGAUCCUGGCUCAGGACGAACGCUGGCGGCAUGCCUAAUACAUGCAAGUCGAGCGGACUUGAAGAGAAGCUUGCUUCUCUGAUGGUUAGCGGCGGACGGGUGAGUAACACGUAGGCAACCUGCCCUCAAGUUUGGGACAACUACCGGAAACGGUAGCUAAUACCGAAUAAUUGUUUUCUUCGCCUGAAGGAAACUGGAAAGACGGAGCAAUCUGUCACUUGGGGAUGGGCCUGCGGCGCAUUAGCUAGUUGGUGAGGUAACGGCUCACCAAGGCG
rnacentral:rRNA from 1 species